rnacentral:rRNA from 1 species
AACGUACGCUGGCGGCACGCCUAACACAUGCAAGUCGAACGAAGUAGCAAUACUUAGUGGCAGACGGGUGAGUAACAUGUAGGUAUCUGCCCUUUGGCCUGGAAUAACACGAGGAAACUUGUGCUAAUACCGGAUAAGUCUUUACGGAGAAAGCUUUAUGCACCAUUGGAUGAGCCUGCACUUGAUUAGUUUGUUGGUGGGGUAAUGGCCUACCAAGACUGUGAUCAAUAGCUGAUUUGAGAGGAUGAUCAGCCACAUUGGGACUGAGACACGGCCCAAACUCCUACGGGAGGCAGCAGUGGGGAAUCUUGCACAAUGGAGGAAACUCUGAUGCAGCGAUGCCGCGUGAGUGAAGAAGGCCCUUGGUUGUAAAGCUCUUUCGUCGGGAAGAAAAUGACUGUACCCGAAUAAGAAGGUCCGGCUAACUUCGUGCCAGCAGCCGCGGUAAC